rnacentral:lncRNA from 1 species
AUAAAAAUGCCACUAGCAAAUAGUCUAAGUUGAUUUUCGCUAUUUUUCUCCACAUAUGACAAUAUAGCACAAAUUUAUAGGCAACAUGUGAAUUUUUAAAAAUCAUUUUUUGUAUUUAAUUUGUUUGAUCAGCUCAUCUGUCGGACUCGUUGACUUAGAUCAUUUAUUAUUAUGAGAUACAACCAAAAAAAAAAAAAAAGAUCGCAAUCUUCCUAAAAUCAAAUUAUAAAACACCUCGUGACAAGCAUGGUAUUUUUAAAAUAAAGAAAAA